rnacentral:rRNA from 1 species
GACGAACGCUGGCGGCGUGCUUAACACAUGCAAGUCGAACGGAAAGGCCCUGCUUUUGUGGGGUGCUCGAGUGGCGAACGGGUGAGUAACACGUGAGUAACCUGCCCUUGACUUUGGGAUAACUUCAGGAAACUGGGGCUAAUACCGGAUAGGAGCUCCUGCUGCAUGGUGGGGGUUGGAAAGUUUCGGCGGUUGGGGAGGGACUCGCGGCUUAUCAGCUUGUUGGUGGGGUAGUGGCUUACCAAGGCUUUGCCGGGUAGCCGGCCUGAGAGGGUGACCGGCCACAUUGGGACUGAGAUACGGCCCAGACUCCUACGGGAGGCAGCAGUGGGGAAUAUUGCACAAUGGGCGGAAGCCUGAUGCAGCAACGCCGCGUGCGGGAUGACGGCCUUCGGGUUGUAAACCGCUUUCGCCUGUGACGAAGCGUGAGUGACGGUAAUGGGUAAAGAAGCACCGGCUAACUACGUG